AGAGUUUGAUCCUGGCUCAGAAUGAACGUUGGCGGCGUGGAUUAGGCAUGCAAGUCGAGCGCCCCGCAAGGGGAGCGGCGCAAGGGUGAGUAAGGCGACGGCAACCAACCCCGCAAUUGGGGAUAGCCGAGGGAAACUUCGGGUAAUACCCAGCGACGUCAUAGGGGGGCAUCUCCCCGUGACCAAAGUUCCGGCGUUGUGGGACGGGCCGUCGUGGUAUUAGCUAGUUGGCGGGGUAACGGCCCACCAAGGCUGCGAUGCCUACCGGGCGUGCGAGCGUGGCCCGGCACACUGGGACUGAGACACUGCCCAGACUCCUACGGGAGGCUGCAGUCGGAAUCUUCGGCAAUGGGCGCAAGCCUGACCGAGCGACGCCGCGUGGAGGACGAAGGCCUUCGGGUUGUAAACUCCUGUCGAGGGGGAGGAAGGGGUAAAACC
rnacentral:rRNA from 1 species